CAGCAGCCGCGGUAAGACAGAGGAUGCAAGCGUUAUCCGGAAUUAUUGGGCGUAAAGGGCUCGCAGGUGGUUUCUUAAGUCUGAUGUGAAAGCCCCCGGCUCAACCGGGGAGGGUCAUUGGAAACUGGGAAACUUGAGUGCAGAAGAGGAGAGUGGAAUUCCACGUGUAGCGGUGAAAUGCGUAGAGAUGUGGAGGAACACCAGUGGCGAAGGCGACUCUCUGGUCUGUAACUGACGCUGGGGAGCGAAAGCGUGGGGAGCGAACAGGAUUAGAUACCCCUGUAGUCCCUGUCUCUUAUAA
rnacentral:rRNA from 1 species